rnacentral:rRNA from 1 species
GAUGAACGCUGGCGGCGUGCCUAACACAUGCAAGUCGAACGGAGAUUCCGGACGGACGUUUUCGGAUGGAAGCCUGUAAUUCUUAGUGGCGGACGGGUGAGUAACGCGUGGGCAACCUGCCCUAUACAGGGGGAUAGCAGCUGGAAACGGCUGGUAAGACCGCAUAAGUCGGUUAAAUCGCAUGAUUUGAUCGGGAAAUGAGCAAUCAGGUAUAGGAUGGGCCCGCGUCCGAUUAGCCAGUUGGCAGGGUAAAAGCCUACCAAAGCGACGAUCGGUAGCCGGACUGAGAGGUAGGACGGCCACAUUGGGACUGAGACACGGCCCAAACUCCUACGGGAGGCAGCAGUGGGGGAUAUUGCACAAUGGAGGAAACUCUGAUGCAGCGACGCCGCGUGAGUGAAGAAGUAUUUCGGUAUGUAAAGCUCUAUCAGCAGGGAAGAUGAUGACGGUACCUGACUAAGAAGCCCCGGCUAACUACGUG